ensembl:processed_transcript
GUGCGAGCUUCGGGAGGAUCGUGUGGGGAGGUAGGGCCACCUGUCUGCCAGCCAAACACUCAUUGAGUAUCUGGGGGACUCUGGUGGCCCAGCCAUACCAUACCAGGUUUCUCCCACACAUCCAAUUAACGCAGGAGAAGGAAUCCUGUUCAGCAAGAAGACAGGGAUCGUUGUGAACUGGGAUGGUGUGGAGAACUGCUGCCCUUUUCAGAGUGGAGGAUGAGUGAAAACAAACCGAGUUCGUUACCCUGAAGCUAAUCUAUAAACCUAACCUAAUGAGGAUCGGGUUUUCUUUAGUAAACCCAGAGUUUCAUUCACCCUUCUCUUACUUUUUAAAGCAAAAUAU